ACAAGAGUUCUCGAAACUGCUCCUUCUUUUUUUUUUUUGUGUUCUCUCUUUCUUUCCCUCAAUCUCUUGCGAGUUCCACUAUGAGUUCCACUAUGUCCCCAGGGAUAGGUAGCCAGGCAUCGGCUUCACCCCCUCAUCGGAGAACUACUGGUCCUAUAAGGCGAGCAAGGGGUGCUUGGACAGCAGAGGAGGAUGAGACAUUAAGGAAUGCUGUUGCAGCCUU